AAUGUUGGUAGAAAAUAGAAAUACAUAUAACCUUCCAAAAGAAGUGGGAAGUUCGGAGGAUGUUAUUGUAGACAGCCAUGGAAGCUGAGAAGAGCGCAGAGUCGAACGAGAAAUCGAAGAAUAACAGAGACAAGAAGAUGACAAGGAAAGAGGCAGAUAUUAGAAAAGAAGAAGAAGGUGCAAGAGAUAAUCAAAGCUGCUGUUUCUCAGAAAGACCCUUUUUCUUCCUUCCCAUCUUUUCGCCAUUACAAGAAAAAGGGUUCGUUUUUUUUUAUUUAUUUUGUAUCCAUAAAUUUAUUAUUUGGUGAAUCCAUAAUCUGUUAAAUCCUUCAUAUUCUGUUCUUACCUUUGUAUUAGUGCAAAAAAAACGAGGCCCUUUUACCCUUUUUACACAUAUUCACUCAUCUUCUUUCAUAAAGGGAAGAACUUUAGUCAUUAGGGUUGUGUUCAGUAUCAAGGAAAAUGUUUUCUACGAAAAUAAGUAUUUUCUUAUGUUCGAUGGUCAAGCAAAAAAUAUUAUCCUAAAAGCAUUUUUUAUAGGAUCUACCCGAGUACUAUUGGAGGUGGCAUAGGAGGGGGGACUUUUCCAUACUUCCUUGGGGUUAGAACUUGAGACCUCUAUCUAUCCUAUACCACUACCUUUAUUGGUUAUGUAUAAUGUUGUUUGCUGUUAUACGUUAUUCAAUUUUUGUAUGUGUAAUGUAUAGUUGAUUUGAUCAUUAGAUUUGUCUGUGUACUUGGACUCGGGAUGCGGAGAUAGCCUUUCGUCUCCAAUAAAGCAGUAUAUUCAGAAUCUCCUCAAGGUAUAGGCCUUUUACAGGUGAAUAUGGAGGCAUCAUAUGGAACAGAGUGGCCUGUAGAAGAGAAGGUGAAGCGCAGGGAGAUGGUUUCUUCUGAAGCUCGUUAUAUAUUUGUGUAUGAGAUAUCAAAUGUGGAAGCCAUGCUCAAAUUAUCAAAGAAAGAAAGGUGUAACGCAGACGGUAUGGAUGAUAAAGGUCAUCUUGUGGCUUUUGUACAUUACCGCUUCACCAUCGAGGAAGAAAUUCCUGUUCUUUAUGUGUAUGAAUUACAGCUUGAACAUCGUGUUCAGGGGAAGGGGCUGGGAAAAUUCUUAAUGGUGCUUAUUGAGCUGAUUGCUCAGAAGAGUAAAAUGAGUGCCGUGGUGCUAACAGUUCAGAAGGCAAACAUGAUAGCAAUGAACUUCUAUCGGAAUAAACUAAGGUGAUCUAUUGAUAUGUUAUACUAGCAAUUUGUGUGCAUUUAGCAUAUAUCAUUUACAUGUUUAUGAUGUUGAAAUAUCAAUAUAAUAAGCUUAGGUGACUACAGCUUGAAUAUUAGUGGAUAAUGUUUUACUACUUCUGUAGAGAACUGUUAUAUUUGUCCUCUUUCUUUAUGUAUCCUCCAUGUAGUAAUAAUCAAAUUUACAUACUGUUAUCUGGUUCAACGGUAAUUGGUUCCAUUUGUAUGAUUACCCAAAAGUAAUAUCCUACUUAGUCUAACUAUGUUUGUCAUCUCUUGUCAUAAGAUGUGGCAUAUCAUGCUAGAGUGCAGAAGCUGGCCAAAAAUUAUUGAAGCUACAGGAAAUUUCUGUAUUUUCAACUCUUGGUUAUUGAAAUGAAGAUUAUAUUUAUAUUGAAGAGUUACCAUAGAGCUAUUUAUGUUGUGUAUUGGACAUGCUUAUAUGUGCAUUGGAUGAUUCAACAAUUCAGCUCAAAAUGUUGGAAUUUAACUAUAUCAGGAGAAUUUCUUUUGUAACCUGUCAAAUAUAUACCAUUAACAUGUUACAUAAUCAACUUCCAGUUUACUCCUCAGCCUUUUCCUCUCCGUACUGAAUAACAUAUGCUUAGCUCUAACUUGAAAAGUUUCUUGCAGCAAAUUCUUUUUCAGCUGCUACAUUACUGUCAAGAUAUAUUUGCUUUUGUUCACUUGUUUAUAAUGACUAGCUGUUUCCAAUAGCACUUACCCGUCAACCUCUGCAGGUACCUGAUAUCCACUAUGUCACCCUCACAGGUAGAUCGACAGUCUGCAAUAGUUCAGUUUUCAUCAUAAUUUGCCUAGGCUCUUUAAAUCUUCUUGUUGCUAUUGCAGAUGGGGUUACAGACAAAUUAUGAGCUUCUUUGCAAGUCAUUUGAUUAUGAAGCUAAAGCUGGAUUACAGGAAGGUGAAGAUAAAUGACUGCAAGGUGAUUCGGAGUCCGUUUGUGAAGCAUCUUACAAAGUUUUUGCCUAUGUCAGCUUGACGACGUUGAUACCUGUGAAGAGGUAGCAUAAUGUGAAUUAUUUAAUAGAAAUUGCAGAGUAGUAUCAUGUUUUGGUUUUGUUAUUGAUCUAAGAUUAUUAGGUCUUGAGCAUUUUUGUCAGACAACUACCCAAUGUAUUUGCCAGACAAGUUGUGUUAUCACUACCUUUAUGUGCAUUAUGUUUCUUUUUA